CCUACGGGAGGCAGCAGUGGGGAAUAUUGGACAAUGGGGGCAACCCUGAUCCAGCAAUGCCGCGUGAGUGAUGAAGGCCUUAGGGUUGUAAAGCUCUUUUACCAGGGAUGAUAAUGACAGUACCUGGAGAAUAAGCUCCGGCUAACUCCGUGCCAGCAGCCGCGGUAAUACGGAGGGAGCUAGCGUUGUUCGGAAUUACUGGGCGUAAAGCGCACGUAGGCGGUUACUCAAGUCAGAGGUGAAAGCCCGGGGCUCAACCCCGGAACUGCCUUUGAAACUAGGUAACUAGAAUCCUGGAGAGGUGAGUGGAAUUCCGAGUGUAGAGGUGAAAUUCGUAGAUAUUCGGAAGAACACCAGUGGCGAAGGCGGCUCACUGGACAGGUAUUGACGCUGAGGUGCGAAAGCGUGGGGAGCGAAACAGGAUUAGAUACCCUGGUAGUCCACGCCGUAAACGAUGAUAACUAGCUGUCCGGGACACAUGGUGUUUGGGUGGCGCGAGCGUACGACUAUUAGUUACGUCCGUCCGUGGGUAGGUACGGUCGACGAAGAAUAAACUAACGAAAGAAGUAGACGGCGNGAGACGUCGACCGACGGACGACGACGAGGAGGAG
rnacentral:rRNA from 1 species